AUGCUCGUCUCUUUAGAGGAUCUAGAGAAGGCUACCAACAAUUUCGAUCAAGCUCGUAGGCUCGGCGGUGGAGGGCAUGGCACUGUCUACAAAGGGAUCUUGUCGGACCUGCAUGUGGUGGCCAUCAAAAAGUCAAAUAUUGUUGUCAGGAGAGAAAUCGACGGGUUCAUAAAUGAGGUUGCUAUACUCUCACAGAUCAACCAUAGAAAUAUUGUAAAGCUUCGUGGUUGUUGCCUCGAGACGGAAGUCCCUUUAUUGGCCUAUGAGUUCAUUUCCAAUGGAACACUCAGUGACCAUCUUCACACGGAAGAACCAAGAUCACUACCUUGGAAAGAGAGAUUAAGGAUCACAAGUGAAAUAGGCAAAGCUCUGGCUUACCUUCACUCGGCUGUUUCAAUCCCUGUAAUACACAGAGAUAUUAAGCCUUCCAACAUACUACUUGACGAUGCAUUGACAGUGACAGUGUCAGAUUUUGGAGCGUCAAGGUACGUUCCCGUGGAUCAAACUGGAACAACAACCGCGGUGCAAGGAACUAUAGGGUACUUAGACCCUAUGUAUUAUUAUACUGGAAACCUAACGGAAAGUAGUGAUGUUUAUAGUUUUGGUGUCCUUCUUGUUGAAUUGCUUACUAGGAGGAAGCCAUGUUUGUAUAGAUCCAUCGAAGGAAAUGGGCUUGUCAUGGAAUUUUGUAGACUACUUGCAGAAGGCAAUCUCUCCAAAGUACUAGAUCCACAGGUUGUAGAGGAGGGAGGUAUUAAAGUUGAAGAAGUAGCUACUCUAGCAGUGUCAUGUGUGAAACUGAGAGCAGAGGAGUGA
rnacentral:rRNA from 1 species